ensembl:lncRNA
GUAGUUUUUCUGUAGUACGGAGGACCCUCCCCAGAAGCCCCCUCACUAUCUCCGGAACUGGAGCAGUCCAAACCAGGGAAUUUCUUUGAAGGAAGCACCUCAACACUACCUCCAUAGCCUUCUUUGAACAGGACUGGAGCCCAGGAGAUGUGGGAGCUUUGAAUGCUCGGGAGCUAAACCUGGCCUUAGCAGACUGACUGUGCCUUUUCCAAAGCCGCAUCCUUCUCCGACUCAUGAUAUAUCCGAGGCACGUGUCAAAGUCCACAUAAGACAAUGGCUUUGCUAUUGUCAACACCAGCAACUCAUAGGCAACGCCAGACCCAGCCUCUUCUGUCCAUCAGCUUGCUGCUGUACUGCAGAAUAACUACUUCAGUGCUGCUUAGGAGUUGAAGGAUUCCUGAUGUCUUCUGCAGCCUCUGGUGAGAAAUCUCUUCCAGGCAUCUGACAGCUCCCUGGCUGACAAGUGCGAGUCCGAUCUGGAGAAGGUGCUGGCUCCAGUAGCCUGAGGGUGACCCUGGUGAGAUAUGAUUGUGCAGCAAACUGUUACCUCCCUGCCUUUUCCUGAAGGAU